AGAGUUUGAUCCUGGCUCAGGAUGAACGCUAGCGGCAGGCUUAACACAUGCAAGUCGAGGGGCAGCGGGGAGGAAGCUUGCUUUCUCCGCCGGCGACCGGCGCACGGGUGAGUAACACGUAUGCAACCUGCCCCUGUCAGGGGGACAACCCGCCGAAAGGCGGGCUAAACCCGCGUACAUGCCACCGGGGCAUCCCGGAGGCAGGAAAGGCUUCGGCCGGACAGGGAUGGGCAUGCGGCGCAUUAGGCAGUAGGCGGGGUAACGGCCCACCUAACCGACGAUGCGUAGGGGUUCUGAGAGGAAGGUCCCCCACACUGGUACUGAGACACGGACCAGACUCCUACGGGAGGCAGCAGUGAGGAAUAUUGGUCAAUGGUCGGGAGACUGAACCAGCCAAGCCGCGUGAGGGAGGAAGGUACAGAGUAUCGUAAACCUCUUUUGUCAGGGAACAAAGACUGGGACGCGUCCCCGGAUGAGUGUACCUGAAGAAAAAGCAUCGGCUAACUCCGUGCCAGCAGCCGCGGUAAUACGGAGGAUGCGAGCGUUAUCCGGAUUUAUUGGGUUUAAAGGGUGCGCAGGCGGUCUGUUAAGUCAGCGGUCAAAGCCCGGGGCUCAACCCCGGCCCGCCGUUGAAACUGGCAGUCUCGAGUUGGAGAGAAGUAUGCGGAAUGCGCGGUGUAGCGGUGAAAUGCAUAGAUAUCGCGCAGAACUCCGAUUGCGAAGGCAGCAUGCCGGCUCCACACUGACGCUGAGGCACGAAAGCGUGGGUAUCGAACAGGAUUAGAUACCCUGGUAGUCCACGCAGUAAACGAUGAAUGCUGGCUGUCCGGGGGGACUGACCCCUGGGUGGCGAAGCGAAAGCGAUAAGCAUUCCACCUGGGGAGUACGCCGGCAACGGUGAAACUCAAAGGAAUUGACGGGGGCCCUCACAAGCGGAGGAACAUGUGGUUUAAUUCGAUGAUACGCGAGGAACCUUACCCGGGCUCAAACGGGGAGUGGCGCAGGCAGAGACGCCUGUUUCCCACGGGACACUCCCCGAGGUGCUGCAUGGUUGUCGUCAGCUCGUGCCGUGAGGUGUCGGCUUAAGUGCCAUAACGAGCGCAACCCCCGCGUGCAGUUGCUAACAGUCAACGCUGAGGACUCUGCACGGACUGCCGGCGCAAGCCGCGAGGAAGGCGGGGAUGACGUCAAAUCAGCACGGCCCUUACGUCCGGGGCGACACACGUGUUACAAUGGGUGGUACAGCGGGAAGCCAGGCGGCGACGCCGAGCGGAACCCGAAAUCCACUCUCAGUUCGGAUCGGAGUCUGCAACCCGACUCCGUGAAGCUGGAUUCGCUAGUAAUCGCGCAUAAGCCAUGGCGCGGUGAAUACGUUCCCGGGCCUUGCACACACCGCCCGUCAAG
rnacentral:rRNA from 1 species